rnacentral:pre_miRNA from 1 species
CACCUGCAGGCUGCCCACCCCCAGGCUGGGCUGGGCAAGUAUCUCCUCAAAAGGCUCACCCUCAAGCAGGACUAGGAGC